rnacentral:lncRNA from 1 species
GGAAGGCAUCUUCCCAUGCUGUCUUUAUAGAUUCCAUACUCUUGUGUUCACAUGCAGGCUUAGCUGGCACACUACUAACCCAUUCAGAAGUAAGAAGGAAACUUCUCUGAGUUCUCAGUGUUUCUCAUAUUCUCACCCCAGAAAGCACAGAGCAUGUGAGCUUUACUGUUCAAAAUGCCCAAUGUUUAAGAGCUGGUACUGCACACCAUGCUGACCCACUCCUGAUGGCGGACUCGAGAUUGUGGACUCCUAGGUCAAGUCCAGCCCACAGGAGUGCUCAGGUUUGACCACAGUAGGUUUAUAAAUGCCACAUUAACUUACAGUAGUUUUUUUUUUCAUUUUUCUUUAUUUGUAUGAGUGUUUUGUCUCAUAUGAGUGCAUAUAUAUGGGUACCACAUGGGUAAAAUGCCA